rnacentral:tRNA from 1 species
AGAUUUAUAAUUAAAUUAUAUAAUUUUUAAUUUGCAGUUAAACUUUGUUCUUUACUAAAUCUU